rnacentral:tRNA from 1 species
AUAAAGAUAAGCUAACUAAGCUAGCAGGUUCAUACCCCGCUUAUGGGAGUUCAAUCUCUCUCUUUUUA